rnacentral:rRNA from 1 species
UUCCGGUUGAUCCUGCCGGACCCCACUGCUAUCGGGAUAGGACUAAGACAUGCUAGUCGUGUGCCUCAGCCAAAACGAGGCACGGCGCACAGCUCAGUAACACGUGGCUAACCUGCCCUUAGGACGAGAAUAACCCCGGGAAACUGGGGCUAAUGCUCGAUAGGUGAAGAACUCUGGAAUGAGCCUUCACUUAAAAGAGUCUGCGUUAUGCUCGUAGAUUUCGCUUAAGGAUGGGGCCGCGACCGAUCAGGUUGUUGGUGAGGUAAUGGCUCACCAAGCCUUUUACCGGUGCGGGCCGUGAGAGCGGGAGCCCGGAGAUGGGCACUGAGACAAGGGCCCAGGCCCUACGGGGCGCAGCAGUCGCGAAAACUUUGCAAUACACGAAAGUGUGACAGGGCUAUCCCGAGUGCCAUCCGCUGAGGAAGGCUUUUACCCAGUCUAGAAAGCUGGGGGAAUAAGGAGAGGGCAAGUCUGGUGUCAGCCGCCGCGGUAAUACCAGCUCUCCGAGUGGUGUGGAUGUUUAUUGGGCCUAAAGCAUCCGUAGCUGGCUAAGUUAGUCCCCUGUUAAAUCCAACGAAUUAAUCGUUGGAUCGCGGGGGAUACUGCUUGGCUAGGGGACGAGAGAGGCAGACGGUAUUUCCGGGGUAGGGGUGAAAUCCUAUAAUCCCGGGAAGACCACCAGUGGCGAAGGCUGUCUGCUAGAACGCGCCCGACGGUGAGGGAUGAAAGCUGGGGGAGCGAACCGGAUUAGAUACCCGGGUAGUCCCAGCUGUAAACGAUGCAGGCUAGGUGUUUGGACGGCCACGUGCCGUUCUAGUGCUGCAGGGAAGCUGUUAAGCCUGCCGCCUGGGGAGUACGAUCGCAAGAUUGAAACUUAAAGGAAUUGGCGGGGGAGCACCACAAGGGGUGAAGCUUGCGGUUUAAUUGGAUUCAACGCCGGG